CGCGCUUCCCGGGCUGCAGCAAGCGUCGCCCGGCAGGCAGGGGACCUCAGGAACAGAAGCUCUGUCUGAGACCAGGGCCCUUUCCUAUGGUGUGACUUCAGGCGGGUUCUUCCAGCUCGCGGUCCCUUGGGAUGGAGCUGCAGCCCGCAGGAUCCAGCCAGCGGGAACUGGGGCUGCCUCGUGCCCUUGACUUUCCUGGUGAUGGAUGAGCUCAGGUCCCCACACGUUCGCCUGGGCCUCCCUUCUUCCCCAUAUGUCCCCCAAAUGCAGGGGUUGGGGACACAGCCAUGAGCAGAACACCCAGCCCUACCCUGAGGAGCUGAAAUUCCAGUGGAAGAGCCAGUGUUGGAAAAGUCCCUGGCACACCAUGGCUAUUGGAUUUAAUAUUUAUGAGUAUCAUCAGAGAACACAAACAUGGCUCUACCAACUGCCAAGUAAUCCCGGCCUGAGGAAUUGGCCCCAAGGAGCUCAUCCUUGAAGGACGAGGCCACAGGUAGAAAGCAGUGUUUUCAAUGCAGAGUUCUUCACACGGUGAAAACCUGGAUCAAAUACCCCUCUGUGGAGAGCUGAUCUAGUGAAGAACGGUUCCUCAUUUGAAGGAAUAUUAUGAGGCAUUCAAAAUCAUAAUUACAAAGCAAAGUACAUAACCACAUACAAUGUUUAUGGGGUACAAUUGCACACACGCAGUGUUUGCAGGUGAGGAAAACUGUGUGUGGGGACAAGGACUGUGCAUGUGUGUGCAUGCGUGUGUGUGCACGCAUGUGUGUGCAUGUGUGUGCACAGGGGCUGGGAAAGGCAAGCAGAGAGAGAAGAGCAGCUGGUAUACUUGGGCAGCAGGGUUGAAUCCGCCACUAGUCACGGGCUCGCACACGGGCACAGCCGCGGCAGAUGGACCUGGCCUGGCUCUGUCGUGACAGCUGUGGCUCUUCAGCCACACACUGUGUGACCCCUCUCCUCCUGGUAACAUCGGUUCCUUAUUACCCUGGACACUGUCUUCUCUGGAGCAUGUGGCAUCAUGCUUCGCCCUCUCCAAAUGCAGCUGCUGCCUCGGGCCUUUUCAUCCUGGGUGCAGAAGUGUGACGAUGCAAAGUGGUGCCUGUCACUUUUUGCUCCCUAUGUGGGGGCUGCUGAGGGUUUUCAUCAGGCACUUUCUGCUUCCCGGACUCCCGAGCUGCCUGGCCCCUGCCUGUCUCCUCACCUGGCUCUCCGGACAGCCCUCCGGGUCUGAGCUGCCCAGGAUGCCUCCUGCUGAUGCUACAUAGCCACACCCUGCUGCCUGCAAUCAAAGAGCCACAGGGGCACAGAGCCUGGCACCGGGAGUCAGAUGCCAGGCCCACAGCCAGGAGUGGACUCCACCAAGGCAGCCUGGAGGAGGUUAGGGGAGGCUGGCCGGCUGGGGGAAGGGGAAUCCUGGUGGCCCUGCGGAACUCUGGGAUUAGGAAUGUGAGUUCUGACAGUGCGGAGUGUAUGAAAGCAUCAGGUGUGGCUGUACCUGCCUCUGUGGGAUGCUGCCACGCUGAGGCCGGCUUCGCUGGCCUGGCCCCUGUGGAAGCAGAAAUGUGGGAAAAAUAUCAAAUAGCCAAGAGAAACCUUUUUUGCCUGAAGCCUG
rnacentral:lncRNA from 1 species